rnacentral:tRNA from 1 species
GGGCAAUUCAGCCGGGCGCCCGGGCAGCAGUCAUAAUCUGUUUCCUUCACACGGCAGGGGUCGCUGGUUCGAACCCAGCAUCGCCCACCA